rnacentral:rRNA from 1 species
CGGCACGGGUGAGUAACACGUAUCCAACCUGCCGUCUACUCUUGGACAGCCUUCUGAAAGGAAGAUUAAUACAAGAUGGCAUCAUGAGUUCACAUGUUCACAUGAUUAAAGGUAUUCCGGUAGACGAUGGGGAUGCGUUCCAUUAGAUAGUAGGCGGGGUAACGGCCCACCUAGCUUCGAUGGAUAGGGGUUCUGAGAGGAAGGUCCCCCACAUUGGAACUGAGACACGGUCCAA